AUGAAUGCUGGCGGCGUGUCUAAGGCAUGCAAGUCGAACGGAUUCACCCAUAUAGCAAUAUAGGGGUGAGUUAGUGGCAAACGGGAGCGUAACACAUUGGUAACCUACCCCAGACUCGUGGAUAACGGUUGGAAACGACCGCUAAUACACGAUAUUGAUGAGGGGACGCAAGUCAUUCUCAUUGAAAGUUUUUCGGUCUGGGAGGGGCCUAUGGUCUAUCAGCUAGUUGGCGGGGUAACGGCCCACCAAGGCUAUGACAGAUACCAGGCGCGAGAGCGUGACCUGGCUCAUUGGAACUGAGACACUGUACAAACACCUACGGGUGGCUGCAGUCGAGAAUAUUCCACAAUGCACGAAAGUGUGAUGGAGCGACGCCGCGUGUCAAAAGAAGGCCUUCGGGUCGUAAAUGACUUUUCUCAGGGACGAAUUUUGACGGUACCUGAGGAAUAAGGGGUUGCUAACUCUGU
rnacentral:rRNA from 1 species